rnacentral:rRNA from 1 species
CCGGCGCACGGGUGCGUAACGCGUAUGCAACCUACCUUUUACUGGGGUAUAGCCCGGAGAAAUCCGGAUUAAUCCCCCAUAGUACUGACAAUUCGCAUGAUGCGUCAGUUAAAGUUUCGGCGGUAAAAGAUGGGCAUGCGUCCUAUUAGCUAGAUGGUAAGGUAAUGGCUUACCAUGGCUACGAUAGGUAGGGGGCCUGAGAGGGUGGUCCCCCACACUGGUACUGAGACACGGACCAGACUCCUACGGGAGGCAGCAGUGAGGGAUAUUGGUCAAUGGGCGCAGGCCUGAACCAGCCAUGCCGCGUGCAGGAAGAAUGUCCUAUGGAUUGUAAACUGCUUUUAUUUGGGAAUAAACCCCCCGACGUGUCGGGGUCUGAAGGUACCAAAUGAAUAAGCACCGGCUAACUCCGUGCCAGCAGCCGCGGUAAUACGGAGGGUGCAAGCGUUAUCCGGAAUCAUUGGGUUUAAAGGGUCCGCAGGCGGGCAUAUAAGUCAGUGGUGAAAGCCUACAGCUCAACUGUAGAACUGCCAUUGAUACUGUAAGUCUUGAAUUCGGUCGAAGUGGGCGGAAUGUGUAGUGUAGCGGUGAAAUGCAUAGAUAUUACACAGAACACCGAUAGCGAAGGCAGCUCACUAGGCCUGGAUUGACGCUCAGGGACGAAAGCGUGGGGAUCAAACAGGAUUAGAUACCCUGGUAGUCCACGCUGUAAACGAUGAUUACUCGUUUUCGGCGAUAUACAGUCGGAGACUAAGCGAAAGUGAUAAGUAAUCCACCUGGGGAGUACGAUCGCAAGGUUGAAACUCAAAGGAAUUGACGGGGGCCCGCACAAGCGGU